rnacentral:rRNA from 1 species
UAACACAUGCAAGUCGAGCGGGCGAGGUUGCUUCGGUAACUGAGCUAGCGGCGGACGGGUGAGUAAUGCUUAGGAAUCUGCCUAUUAGUGGGGGACAACAUUCCGAAAGGGAUGCUAAUACCGCAUACGUCCUACGGGAGAAAGCAGGGGCUCUUUAUGACCUUGCGCUAAUAGAUGAGCCUAAGUCGGAUUAGCUAGUUGGUGGGGUAAAGGCCUACCAAGGCGACGAUCUGUAGCGGGUCUGAGAGGAUGAUCCGCCACACUGGGACUGAGACACGGCCCAGACUCCUACGGGAGGCAGCAGUGGGGAAUAUUGGACAAUGGGGGGAACCCUGAUCCAGCCAUGCCGCGUGUGUGAAGAAGGCCUUUUGGUUGUAAAGCACUUUAAGUGGGGAGGAGGCUUACCUGGUUAAUACCUGGGCUAAGUGGACGUUACCCACAGAAUAAGCACCGGCUAACUCUGUGCCAGCAGCCGCGGUAAUACAGAGGGUGCGAGCGUUAAUCGGAUUUACUGGGCGUAAAGCGCGCGUAGGUGGCUAAUUAAGUCAAAUGUGAAAUCCCCGAGCUUAACUUGGGAAUUGCAUUCGAUACUGGUUAGCUAGAGUAUGGGAGAGGAUGGUAGAAUUCCAGGUGUAGCGGUGAAAUGCGUAGAGAUCUGGAGGAAUACCGAUGGCGAAGGCAGCCAUCUGGCCUAAUACUGACACUGAGGUGCGAAAGCAUGGGGAGCAAACAGGAUUAGAUACCCUGGUAGUCCAUGCCGUAAACGAUGUCUACUAGCCGUUGGGGGAUUUGAUCCUUUAGUGGCGCAGCUAACGCGAUAAGUAGACCGCCUGGGGAGUACGGUCGCAAGACUAAAACUCAAAUGAAUUGACGGGGGCCCGCACAAGCGGUGGAGCAUGUGGUUUAAUUCGAUGCAACGCGAAGAACCUUACCUGGCCUUGACAUAGUAGA